GCUCCUAAACUAAAGGAGGUUUCAAACAAAAUGGAAAAAUAAAUAAAUGAAAAAAGCCAAAAAAAGAAAGAACCGCCUCUUAAAUGGACCUUUCUGGGACUGGUAGGAGACCCUAACAUGGUAGUUUUCUAUACGACCUCCCCAUAAUGUUUCUCUCUCUCUCCUUUGCCUUGCGAAAUCAAUUUACCUCCGUUCUGGAAUCUCAUCAGAAGAGAAGAAGGCUUGAAGAGAAUAGCAAUGAUCAAUCUGACUCCUCUCUCGUUCUCAUCAAUCCGCCUCCUCUCUCGAAUCUCUUUCUUUGACUCGAUGGGGCAGCUGUGGAAGGAGCAGACGGUCGCCGGGAAGCCUGCUGGGUUCUUCGUGAGUACGGGGACUCAGGGAGGUGGACAAGAGACCACUGCAUGGACAGCAAUCACACAGCUGGUGCAUCACGGGAUGCUAAUCGUCCCCAUAGGCUACACAUUUGGAGCAGGAAUGUUCAAAAUGGACUCGAUCCAUGGAGGCUCACCUUAUGGAGCCGGUGUGUUCGCUGGUGAUGGCUCAAUAGAAGCUACGGAGACAGAGUUGGCUCUUGCUGAACCUCAAUGAAAACCUCAAUGAGAAUGAUUCAGCAAAAGAGAGUGCAGUCCUUGCUUUGCUCCACUCGAUCGACACCAAGUCAAAGCUCGCUGUAGCAAAGGUUGCUUUACUCUUCUGGUCUGUCCAACAUCGUUCUGAACAUUGGAAGGUGCUCUCCAAUACUUAACUUCCACCUGUCCAGACAUCUCAUAUUCAGCUCCCUGAUCUAUGAGAAAGCAGAUUUCAAUACAGCAAAACCCUACCACUACAGUUUGCUGACAUCUUCAUGAAUUACGCUCUAGCCUGAGUGUGCAUCAACCUCCCACUCUCCCACUACAAAAGGGUGUUAGAUUGUAUGCAUAUACGACAAUCUCUAAGACGUUGUAUUGUAUAUAUUGUUUGUUGUGUUUUUUUUUUUUGUUCAGUGGUUGUAUAUUAGGGCUCUGGUUGUAUAGUUAGGAUACAAUUUGUUUAUAUGUACUAUUUAGUCCUAUAAAUAAUACAAACGGCUCAUGGAGUUUUCAUAAGUCUAUAUGUUGUAUGGGUGGUUUUGUUGUUUUUGUAUAAAUUAAUGAAACAGGGUAUGCAUAUAGUAUAUACAACUACUUUUUCGCUUUGACUUAAACAAUUUAGUUCAUGUAAAAAACAAUUUAGUUCAGAUUCGGCUUGAUUUAUAUGCCAGCUCCCAAGACUACAAAUCUUUGCCUUCUAUUGGAUUUGUUGUUAGCUUUAUAUUAUACAUUUUAAUCGUCACAUGCUAGAGCAUAAUUCAUGGGAAUGCCAGCAAACUGUGAAAAGAAGAGUCAAGAGUUGUAUAUAUAUAUUAUACUAUUGGAUUGGAUUUGCUGUUAGCUUUAUAGCAUACAUUUUAAUCGUGUUAUAUACGCCUAACUAGUCGGUUCUAAGCUUUAUAACACUACAAAAAAUAUGAGUAUUAGUAGCAGUUCGCGGUAGCACGAAUUCACGAACUGCCACCGAAAGUCCCAAAAUCUUAGCACUACUCUAUUAUAGCACUAAAUUUGCGUUAAGAUAAAAUUUCAUUAAGCGGGAAAGCAAAAAUCAUUAUAGGUGAAAAAAUAUUUUGGAGCCAACACUUGGUGAAUUUUGGGUUUCCUUUACAUUUUUGUGUUAAAAAAAAAUAGGUUUCUUAUCUCUUUGAUAAAAAAAAAAAAAACUUUCUUAUCUCUAGUCGUCUCUGUCCCUCUCGAGUCUCAUCUCUGCGUUUCCCCCUUUACUCCAUCUCGAGCUCCACCACUCUGUGGUCUCCACUCACCCACAAUCGAACAAGGUGGCGCCUCUUGUCCACUCUCGAGCCUCACCGCCGUGCUCUGCUCAUCAAUCCACCGUGCUCUGCUUCACACCGCAACAGUCUGGCCGUCGUCGCCACGUCAGAGCUCUCAUCCAUCGCAAUCCAUCACUGUGUCUGUGACCAAACGACACCACGAUAGCACCUGCUCCAAAUCAAGCUUCUCUGGCGCGUUCUUGCUUCAACGGAAUCAUGCCUCACCGUCGGAAUCAAAGUGGAGAAGAGAAACAACGGCGUUUCGACAAAAGGUGCUGCUACCAAGUAGUGGGCAUUGGAAGAUGGUACUAACUCUGUCGCUAUGGCUAAGAGAAGAAGUAGUGAGAGCCAACUUUGAGUUUUUGAAGAAACUUGGAGUUGAUUGGUGGUGUUUCUACACGUGAGGUGCAGGUGGAGUUCUUCUUGUUUACGACAUCAGCAGACAGCAGACUUUUCAGAGCAUUGGUAGAUGGCUGAACGAGCUGCACACACACUCGGACAUGAACGUUGUGACGUUCUUCGUUCAUUCGUUACGAAUUGGAGUUGAUUGGUGGUGUUGUGUUUUACUUGUCUCUUGACAGGUGGUGUUGCGGAAACGCCUUGCCCAUAUCAAAAGAGAAGUUGAUAAAAAGAUGGUGGAGAAGAGAAGUUGGUUUCUUGUGUUCUUCUGUGUCAAGCUUUGAUCUGAGUUAAGUGAGAUUCGGUUUGGAUUAGAUGGUGAAGGAAACAGAGUAAUAUGAUGUGCUCGGCGUUAGCCCAAGUGCUACUGAGUCUGAGAUCAAGACUCAGUUUGUUUAUGACUAGAUUUGAUGGUUAUAUGUUCUUUUAUGGAGUUCGUGUGUUUCAUGUAUUGAUUUUGUAUGUUUUGAUUCUUUGAUGGAAAAACAUGUGGUAUUAUAUGAUUUAUUUGUGUUUUAUUAGAGUAAAUUAUAUUUAUUAA